rnacentral:rRNA from 1 species
UUGACGGGGCCGGCACAAGCGGUGGAGUAUGUGGUUUAAUUCGAUGCAACGCGAAGAACCUUACCUGGUCUUGACAUCCCGGAGACCCUUAGGAAACUAGGGGGUGGCUUCCAUCUGGAAGAAUCUGGAGACAGGUGCUGCAUGGCUGUCGUCAGCUCGUGUCGUGAGAUGUUGGGUUAAGUCCCGCAACGAGCGCAACCCUUGCCUUUAGUUGCCAGCAGUUCGGCUGGGCACUCUAAAGGGACUGCCGGUGUUAAACCGGAGGAAGGUGGGGAUGACGUCAAGUCCUCAUGGCCUUUAUGACCAGGGCUACACACGUACUACAAUGGCCGAUACAAAGGGCAGCGACACUGCGAGGUGAAGCCAAUCCCGUAAAAUCGGUCUCAGUCCGGAUUGGAGUCUGCAACUCGACUCCAUGAAGUUGGAAUCGCUAGUAAUCGUGGAUCAGCAUGCCACGGUGAAUACGUUCCCGGGCCUU